UACGAAGGGGGGCUAGCGUUGCUCGGAAUCACUGGGCGUAAAGCGCACGUAGGCGGAUUGCUAAGUCAGGGGUGAAAUCCUGGAGCUCAACUCUGGAACUGCCUUUGAUACUGUCGAUCUGGAGUAUGGAAGAGGUGAGUGGAAUUCCGAGUGUAGAGGUGAAAUUCGUAGAUAUUCGGAGGAACACCAGUGGCGAAGGCGGCUCACUGGUCCAUUACUGACGCUGAGGUGCGAAAGCGUGGGGAGCAAACAGG
rnacentral:rRNA from 1 species